UUGGCGUAGCUGAAGUCCAUGGCCGUGGUCUGCCGUGUGCUAGUCGGUGUGAUGGUAGACACUUGGGCCCCGCUCAGGAGCGGUUGUCUGGCUGCAGCAGGUACCCUUCCACACAGCCACAUGUAAAAGAGCCGUCCGUGUUGGUGCAUAGCUGGCUGCAAGUGCCGUACACUGAGCAUUCGUCAAAGUCUGCCGGGAGAGGGGUUUCAUUUAAGAAACCAUUUGAAGAAAGAACCCCACGAUGUACAACAACAACAAAGGAUGAAAAUACUGAUCUAGUGCAGGGCUCUCAUUUUGUAGGUGGGAUCCUGGGGUCCGGAAAGAGGUAGUGACUUGCCCAGGCACACACAGCUGAAGAGAAGUGCCCGGGCCGGGGCCCCAGCUGAUCCCCGCAGGGCUGUUGACUAAGCCCCAAGCCCAAAGGCCCACUGCUUUGGGAGCACCGGAGCAGGACAAUGCCUCAUCCCCACCGGAGGUGUGAGGACAGUCCUCGGGCACUGGGCCUCCAAACCCAUCACGUGCCCAGCUGAGAACUCACUGCAUCCAUCUCCUGGGGCAGGAGAGGUGGAAGAGCCCUUACCUCGGCA